rnacentral:rRNA from 1 species
ACGGAAGGCAGCAGUGAGGAAUAUUGGUCAAUGGGCGGAAGCCUGAACCAGCCAUGUCGCGUGCAGGACUACGGCCCUACGGGUCUUAAACUUCUUUUGCAAGGGGAUAAAGUGGGGCACGCGUGCCCCUUUGCAGGUACCUUGCGAAUAAGGAUCGGCUAACUCCGUGCCAGCAGCCGCGGUAAUACGGAGGAUCCGAGCGUUAUCCGGAUUUAUUGGGUUUAAAGGGUGCGUAGGCGGGAUGUUAAGUCAGCGGUGAAACCCCGGGGCUCAACCCGGGGACUGCCAUUGAAACUGGCGGCCUUGAGUACGUUGGGAGUGCGCGGAAUGUGUGGUGUAGCGGUGAAAUGCAUAGAUAUCACACAGAACACCGAUCGCGUAGGCAGCGCACUACGCCGCAACUGACGCUGAGGCACGAAGGCGCGGGGAUCGAACAGGAUUAGAUACCCUGGUA